rnacentral:rRNA from 1 species
CAGUCGCCACGGUAAAACGGAGGGUGCAAGCGUUAAUCGGAAUUACUGGGCGUAAAUCGCACGCAGGCGGUUUGUUAAGUCAGAUGUGAAAUCCCCGGGCUCAACCUGGGAACUGCAUCUGAUACUGGCAAGCUUGAGUCUCGUAGAGGGGGGUAGAAUUCCAGGUGUAGCGGUGAAAUGCGUAGAGAUCUGGAGGAAUACCGGUGGCGAAGGCGGCCCCCUGGACGAAGACUGACGCUCAGGUGCGAAAGCGUGGGGAGCAAACAGGAUUAGAUACCCCUGUAGUCCCUGUCUCUUAUAC